UUGCACUGGUGCUCGAGUGGCGAACGGGUGAGUAACACGUGGGUGAUCUGCCCUGCACUUUGGGAUAAGCCUGGGAAACUGGGUCUAAUACCAGAUAGGACCAUGCUUUGGAUGGUGUGGUGGAAAGUUUUUUCGGUGUGGGAUGAGCUUGCGGCCUAUCAGCUUGUUGGUGGGGUAAUGGCCUACCAAGGCGUCGACGGGUAGCCGGCCUGAGAGGGUGUACGGCCACAUUGGGACUGAGAUACGGCCCAGACUCCUACGGGAGGCAGCAGUGGGGAAUAUUGCACAAUGGGCGCAAGCCUGAUGCAGCGACGCCGCGUGGGGGAUGACGGCCUUCGGGUUGUAAACUCCUUUCGCAACUGACGAAGCUUUUUGUGACGGUAGGUUGAGAAGAAGCACCGGCUAACUACGUGCCAGCAGCCGCGGUAAUACGUAGGGUGCGAGCGUUGUCCGGAAUUACUGG
rnacentral:rRNA from 1 species